rnacentral:rRNA from 1 species
GGUUAAGCGACUAAGCGUACACGGUGGAUGCCCUGGCAGUCAGAGGCGAUGAAGGACGUGCUAAUCUGCGAUAAGCGUCGGUGAGGUGAUAUGAACCGUUAUAACCGGCGAUUUCCGAAUGGGGAAACCCAGUGUGUUUCGACACACUAUCAUUAACUGAAUCCAUAGGUUAAUGAGGCGAACCGGGGGAACUGAAACAUCUAAGUACCCCGAGGAAAAGAAAUCAACCGAGAUUCCCCCAGUAGCGGCGAGCGAACGGGGAGGAGCCCAGAGCCUGAAUCAGUGUGUGUGUUAGUGGAAGCGUCUGGAAAGGCGUGCGAUACAGGGUGACAGCCCCGUACACAAAAAUGCACAUAUUGUGAGCUCGAUGAGUAGGGCGGGACACGUGGUAUCCUGUCUGAAUAUGGGGGGACCAUCCUCCAAGGCUAAAUACUCCUGACUGACCGAUAGUGAACCAGUACCGUGAGGGAAAGGCGAAAAGAACCCCGGCGAGGGGAGUGAAAAAGAACCUGAAACCGUGUACGUACAAGCAGUGGGAGCCUCUUAAUGGGGUGACUGCGUACCUUUUGUAUAAUGGGUCAGCGACUUAUAUUCUGUAGCAAGGUUAACCGAAUAGGGGAGCCGAAGGGAAACCGAGUCUUAACUGGGCGUUAAGUUGCAGGGUAUAGACCCGAAACCCGGUGAUCUAGCCAUGGGCAGGUUGAAGGUUGGGUAACACUAACUGGAGGACCGAACCGACUAAUGUUGAAAAAUUAGCGGAUGACUUGUGGCUGGGGGUGAAAGGCCAAUCAAACCGGGAGAUAGCUGGUUCUCCCCGAAAGCUAUUUAGGUAGCGCCUCGUGAAUUCAUCUCCGGGGGUAGAGCACUGUUUCGGCAAGGGGGUCAUCCCGACUUACCAACCCGAUGCAAACUGCGAAUACCGGAGAAUGUUAUCACGGGAGACACACGGCGGGUGCUAACGUCCGUCGUGAAGAGGGAAACAACCCAGACCGCCAGCUAAGGUCCCAAAGUCAUGGUUAAGUGGGAAACGAUGUGGGAAGGCCCAGACAGCCAGGAUGUUGGCUUAGAAGCAGCCAUCAUUUAAAGAAAGCGUAAUAGCUCACUGGUCGAGUCGGCCUGCGCGGAAGAUGUAACGGGGCUAAACCAUGCACCGAAGCUGCGGCAGCGACACUAUGUGUUGUUGGGUAGGGGAGCGUUCUGUAAGCCUGUGAAGGUGGCCUGUGAGGGUUGCUGGAGGUAUCAGAAGUGCGAAUGCUGACAUAAGUAACGAUAAAGCGGGUGAAAAGCCCGCUCGCCGGAAGACCAAGGGUUCCUGUCCAACGUUAAUCGGGGCAGGGUGAGUCGACCCCUAAGGCGAGGCCGAAAGGCGUAGUCGAUGGGAAACAGGUUAAUAUUCCUGUACUUGGUGUUACUGCGAAGGGGGGACGGAGAAGGCUAUGUUGGCCGGGCGACGGUUGUCCCGGUUUAAGCGUGUAGGCUGGUUUUCCAGGCAAAUCCGGAAAACCAAGGCUGAGGCGUGAUGACGAGGCACUACGGUGCUGAAGUGACAAAUGCCCUGCUUCCAGGAAAAGCCUCUAAGCAUCAGGUAACAUCAAAUCGUACCCCAAACCGACACAGGUGGUCAGGUAGAGAAUACCAAGGCGCUUGAGAGAACUCGGGUGAAGGAACUAGGCAAAAUGGUGCCGUAACUUCGGGAGAAGGCACGCUGAUAUGUAGGUGAAGCGACUUGCUCGUGGAGCUGAAAUCAGUCGAAGAUACCAGCUGGCUGCAACUGUUUAUUAAAAACACAGCACUGUGCAAACACGAAAGUGGACGUAUACGGUGUGACGCCUGCCCGGUGCCGGAAGGUUAAUUGAUGGGGUUAGCGGUAACGCGAAGCUCUUGAUCGAAGCCCCGGUAAACGGCGGCCGUAACUAUAACGGUCCUAAGGUAGCGAAAUUCCUUGUCGGGUAAGUUCCGACCUGCACGAAUGGCGUAAUGAUGGCCAGGCUGUCUCCACCCGAGACUCAGUGAAAUUGAACUCGCUGUGAAGAUGCAGUGUACCCGCGGCAAGACGGAAAGACCCCGUGAACCUUUACUAUAGCUUGACACUGAACAUUGAGCCUUGAUGUGUAGGAUAGGUGGGAGGCUUUGAAGUGUGGACGCCAGUCUGCAUGGAGCCGACCUUGAAAUACCACCCUUUAAUGUUUGAUGUUCUAACGUUGGCCCGUAAUCCGGGUUGCGGACAGUGUCUGGUGGGUAGUUUGACUGGGGCGGUCUCCUCCUAAAGAGUAACGGAGGAGCACGAAGGUUGGCUAAUCCUGGUCGGACAUCAGGAGGUUAGUGCAAUGGCAUAAGCCAGCUUGACUGCGAGCGUGACGGCGCGAGCAGGUGCGAAAGCAGGUCAUAGUGAUCCGGUGGUUCUGAAUGGAAGGGCCAUCGCUCAACGGAUAAAAGGUACUCCGGGGAUAACAGGCUGAUACCGCCCAAGAGUUCAUAUCGACGGCGGUGUUUGGCACCUCGAUGUCGGCUCAUCACAUCCUGGGGCUGAAGUAGGUCCCAAGGGUAUGGCUGUUCGCCAUUUAAAGUGGUACGCGAGCUGGGUUUAGAACGUCGUGAGACAGUUCGGUCCCUAUCUGCCGUGGGCGCUGGAGAACUGAGGGGGGCUGCUCCUAGUACGAGAGGACCGGAGUGGACGCAUCACUGGUGUUCGGGUUGUCAUGCCAAUGGCACUGCCCGGUAGCUAAAUGCGGAAGAGAUAAGUGCUGAAAGCAUCUAAGCACGAAACUUGCCCCGAGAUGAGUUCUCCCUGACUCCUUGAGGGUCCUGAA